rnacentral:rRNA from 1 species
CUGGCUCAGGAUGAACGCUAGCGGCAGGCUUAACACAUGCAAGUCGAGGGGCAACGCGAGUAGCAGUACUUGGCGGCGACCGGCGCAAGGGUGCGUAACGCGUGAGCAACAUGCCCGUAUCAGGGGGAUAAUCCAGGGAAACUUGGUCUAAUACCCCAUAGUAAUUUUGUAAGGCAUCUUAUAAGAUUUAAAGCUUUGGUGGAUACGGAUUGGCUCGCGUGACAUUAGCUGGAUGGUAAGGUAACGGCUUACCAUGGCUAUGAUGUCUAGGGGUUCUGAGAGGAAGGUCCCCCACACUGGAACUGAGACACGGUCCAGACUCCUACGGGAGGCAGCAGUGAGGAAUAUUGGACAAUGGAUGGAAAUCUGAUCCAGCCAUGCCGCGUAGAAGGAAGAAGGUCCUAUGGAUUGUAAACUUCUUUUGUAUGGGAGCAAUAAGGCCUACGAGUAGGUUGAUGAGAGUACCAUACGAAUAAGCACCGGCUAACUCCGUGCCAGCAGCCGC